rnacentral:lncRNA from 1 species
UUAGACAAUUAAAACCAAUCCUUCUGAAACUCUUCCAAAAAAUUGAAAAGGAAGGAGAUCUUCCGAACUAAUUUUACAAAGGCCUGAUACCAAAGGCAGACAAAAACAGUACAAGAAAAGCAAAUUAUAGGCCAAUAUCCUUGAUAAACAUAGAUGCAGAAAUCCUCAAGAAAAUACUAGCAAACCAAAUUCAACAGCAUAUUAGAAGGGUCAUUCACCAUGAUCAAGUGGGAUUUAUCCCUGUGAAUUUGCAUAUUCACCAUAUGCAAAUCAGCAGUGAUACACCAUAUUAACAGAAUAAAGGACAAAAACUUUAUAAUUAUCUCAAUAGAUACAAAAAAGGCAUUCAACAAAAUUCAGCAUCCUUUCAUGAUAGAAACACUCAACAAAUUAGGUAGAGAAAGAAUGUCUCUCAACAUAGUAAAGGCCUUAUAUGACAAGCCCAUAGCUAACAUAAUGCUCAGUGAAAAGUUGAAAGUUUUUUCUGAAAUCAGGAACAAGACAAGUAUGCCCACUUUCAGCAUUUCCAUUCAACACAGUAUUGGAAGUCCUAGCCAGAAUAAUUAGGCAAGAGAAAGAAAAGGCUUUCAGAUUGUCAGUGAAGAAGUUAAAUCGUCCGUUCGCAGAUAACAUGAUUUUAUAUUUAGAAAACUCUAAAGACUCCACCAAAAAACUAUUACAAGUAAUAAAUUCAGUAAAGUUGCAGGAUACAAAAUUAACACAAAAAUCAGUAGUGGUCAGACAUGGUGGUUUAUACCUGUAAUCCCAGGACUUUGGGAGGCUGAGGUGGGAGGAUCACUGGAGGACAGGAGUUUGAGACCAGCCUGGACAACAUAGUGAGAUGCCCAUCUCUACAAAAAAGAAAAAAAUUAGCCAGGUGUGGUGGCACGACCUGUAGUCCUAGCUACUUGGGAGCCUGAGGUGGGAAGAUUGCUUGAGCCCAGGAGUUUGAGGUUACAGUGAGCCAUGAUCAUGCCAUUGCACUCCAGCCUGAGUAACAGAGUAAGACUCCACUUCCAAAAAAAGAAAAAAAAAAAUCAGUAGCAUUUCUACAUACUAACAACAAACUAUCUGAUAAAUCUGGCCAGGUGCAGUCCCUCACGCCUGUAAUCCCAGCACUUUGGGAGGCCAAGGUGGGAGGAUCACUUGAGGUCAAGAGUUUGAGACCAGCCUGGCCAACAUGGUGACACCCCAUCUCUAGUAAAAAUACAAAAAUUAGCCAGGCAUGGUGUCAUGCACCUGUAAUCCCAGCUACUCAGGAGACUGAGGCAGGAGAAUUGUUUGAACUUGGGAGGUGGAGGCUGCAGCAGCACUGCACUCCAGCCUAGGCAACAGAGCAAGACUCCAUCUCAAAAAAAAAAAAAAAAAAAAAAAAAA